ensembl:lncRNA
ACUGAUGUAAGAUCUCAACAAGUCAGCGUUCCUCCUCCUCCUCUACUACCUAGUAAUGUGAAAAUGGAGGACAGACUAGAGACGACAGAAACAGAGAAACGGAGAAGCAGUCCCUCUCCAGCCAAAGAGGAGACCUCCAGUCCUAUGGUCACCCAGUCUCUCCUACAGAUGGUUCGUCUUAGGUCAGUUAAGUCCAGUCAGAGCCCUGCUGUAGGUCCUGAUAAACCAUCACAACCCAAACCAAAAUCAGGUGUCAGUCAAGAGGCACCUCCAAAGCCCAUCAGACGAUCUUUGAUUUUGACAUCACUGCCCCCUGAUGUAGAAGCUCUUUCCAACACCGAGCCAAAAACUGAAGCUCCGUCCAUCAACACAAACACAACCACUGUAUCUAAUACUCAGCAAAGAUCAUCCGAACCAGAAACUCAAUCAAAUAACAUUGCUCAAAAAACAGAAAACACAAUACUUGAGCCAAAAUGCUCAUUAGCUACAUGUCCACCUACCGAACCAGGUAACAACCCAGUUCCUGCUGAACCAGCAACUAAACAACCCUGUGCUAAAACAGAACCCAAACCCCAAACCCUCAAGGAACAAAUUCAACCUACUGUGCCUGACCCAGAAACCCUGCCAAGUACAACAGAACCAAAGGACCAAUCAAUCAGUGAGCCAAAGACUCAACUUCUGGCACAAGAACCCAACAAGAUCCCGCAUAAUUCAGAGAAGCAAUCAAGCUCCGUUGAAAUACACUCAAAGCCAGAUGGUGAGCAGCCAAAAACCCAAACACCAGUGCCCAUUGUCUCUUCCACACCUCCCAUAGUCUCUUCAGCAGCAAACCCCUCCAUGCGUCUCCAGGAAGCCAUUCGUCUUAAGGCUGCUGCUAUGUCUUCAAAAGACAACCAAGCCAAGCGGUUUGGUCUACGAGCCCCUCCUCUAGCCACGUCUAAUGCCACCUCUACUGUACCAAACUCCCCUGCAUCUAUGGCCAGCUUCAUCUUCUCCAAAAGCCCAAAGAAAGUCGUAAUAGAGACACCGUCAUCCUUAGAGGUUCAGGCUGACCUGAGGAAAACGCUGGUGGCAGAGUUAGCAUCUGUCUCUGAUUCAGCCAAGUCUAAUGACUCCCUCAAGAUGGCUAACAAAGUUCCUCCACCAAUUGCUAAGAAACCCAACGCUAAGGUUGAGAGCGUUGCUCAGAACUCUGAAGAGGCCAAAUUUGUAGCCAAGACUGAGCAUGUGCAAACAGAGACUGUACAAACUGCCGGACAGGACGUACAGACAGAGAACUCUGAGAAAACAAAUGAAUGAAUAUGUGCACAGAUGAUUUAAUAAGCCUUAAGUUUUUACUUUUUUUUCCAUAUAACCCAGGCUUUAAAUCCUAGGCCCAAACUGCUUAAGCAAUUUUGAAAUAUAAAAUCCAAAAAAAAGUCUUUAUGUACAGAUAGG